UACGUAGGGUGCGAGCGUUGUCCGGAAUUAUUGGGCGUAAAGGGCUCGUAGGCGGUCUGUCGCGUCGGGAGUGAAAACUCAGGGCUUAACCCUGAGCCUGCUUCCGAUACGGGCAGACUAGAGGUAUGCAGGGGAGAACGGAAUUCCUGGUGUAGCGGUGAAAUGCGCAGAUAUCAGGAGGAACACCGGUGGCGAAGGCGGUUCUCUGGGCAUUACCUGACGCUGGGGAGCGAAAGUGUGGGGAGCGAACAGG
rnacentral:rRNA from 1 species